GGAAGCGUGCCAGAGUGGUUGAAUGGGGCGGUCUCGAAAACCGUUAUACCGGAAACGGUAUCGGAGGUUCGAAUCCUCCCGCUUCCG
rnacentral:tRNA from 2 species